rnacentral:rRNA from 4 species
UGCCUUUUGAUCACCAAAUAAAAGGUAACUCCUGCCCAGUGAAAACUUUCAACGGCCGCGGUAUCCUAACCGUGCAAAGGUAGCAUAAUCACUUGUCUAUUAAUUGUAGACUAGAAUGAAAGGAUAAACGAAAUAAGCUCUGUCUCGCCUAGUUUUAUAAAAAUUAUACUUUAGAUGAAGAUAUCUAAAUAACAUCGAAGGACAAGAAGACCCUAUAGAGCUUUAUUUAAAAAGAGAUCUAAGCUCUUUCGAAGAUUCGGUUGGGGCGACCAAGGAAUUAGAAAUCAUCCUUUACUAAAAAGAUUCAUUAAUCCUAUUCGUGACCCUUUUAAGAUCACAAAAACAAGCUACCUUAGGGAUAACAGGCUAAUCCUACUUAAGAGUUCUUAUCUAUAGUGGGGUUUGGCACCUCGAUGUUGGCUUAGGGCAUCCUUGUGGCGCAAAAGUCACAAUAAGAUGGUUUGUUCAACCUUUAAUCCCCU